CCCGAGCCUAUUAAAAGAGGCGCCCUUUCCCUCCUUCCUCCCCGUCUGGCAAUCCCCAGGGCUGUUCCAAUGCCCCCUCCCCCACCCCGCUUUGCAGGCACCAUGCAGAGUGCUGGGGACACCACUCAGCCUUCAAGCUUACAAUCUAAAUAAGGAAGAGAACAGACAAGGGAAGAAGACUGUCAAAGAACUCUUAAGGCCUGAAGCAACUGCUGGGAGUUUAGACUAAACCUAUGUGAGAAAGUGUGAUGGAAUAGACAGAAUAAUGGACUUCGAGACUGUAAGACUUGGAUUCAAAUCUUACCUUAGGUACUUAAUAGCUGUGUGGCCUGAGGCAGAUACUUUAUAGCAUUUUUCACUUUUGUUUCCUCUUACCAACCCUUUUGUCUCCACUGGACAGGCAAGUGACCCAGCUAAAGCAGCAAGGCUUCCUGGGGAAAGACAGAAGGCCGGAUGUUUUAGGUAAGUUAAGUCACCACUGAAUGACCACGAUCUCUUUUCAGACUGUGAUGGGAAUAACCCAGUGCCCUCAGCCAAUCAUCCUAGGAUGCCACUUCUGUAGAGAGCCAUAGCUCUUGAAGACCUCAUAAAGAAGAUUCUUGCAACCAAAGUCCUUGGCUUUGUCAAAUCAUUCAACAUCACAGAAGGAUGCCAUUUUAUCAGUGGAGAUGACAUCAAAGAAGAGACAUUAACAUCUGCUUUGCUGAUGUGCCCUAAGAACCCUGGCACUGACUUAGACCUGAAACCUUCCAUAUUUUGUAAUAAUAGUAAAAAUGAUAGUGCCAGGCCUGGAGUUAAAAAAAAAAGUUCACAUCCAGCCACAGAAACAGACUGCUGUUGGGAGGUGCUACUGUUCUCUCCAUUUUGCAGUGGAGGAAAUAGGCAAAUAGAUUGAAUUGUCCUCUGGGUCAGAAUUUUGUCUUGUUUCCAGGGCCUGCACUGUAUCCCCUCAAUUCCUCAAAUCAAAGUUGUUCCCAUUAGAAUGUGAGCUCUCUGAGACCAGAGGCUGUAUCUCAUCUCCCUCUCAGUCUCCAGAUUUUCUCAUAGUAAGUGAUUCAUUGAGACAUUCCUUUGUAAGGUUGAGGAAAUAGUCCUGAUGACCUCUAAGGGCCCAUCCUACUUUAGGGCUAAGAUUCUUUGCAUUCAGUAAGUGAUGUGCUUUGUUAUUACAUUGAGGCAUCAAGAUAAUGGAUUAUCAGAAUGUUGACUGUAAUCUCUGGCUUUGUACUGUUUCUAAGAGUAAUCUAGUUCAAUUGAGAGAGGCUUAUUAUUGAAUGAAGGUUGACCCCUAGAUGAUUAUUUAUUUUUAACCACAGCCUGGGAUGACAGUCUACCAAAGUAUUGUAUGGUGUUGAGGAAGAAGGUAGGGUGUGUUCAGCAAUCAGUAAGCAUUCAUUAAAGCUUUUCUAUGUGCUAAGUGCUGUACUAAGUACUAGGAAUACAGAAACAGAUGAAAUAGCUCCUGCAAUUAAAAAGCUUUUAUUCUAUCAUAGGAGAGAGCUGCCUGUUGGAAGUAUUGAAGCAAUUAAGACCUGAUCAUAGAGACCUGGUAAAUCAAUUAGAAAACUCCUAGCAACAGCUGCCAAAUUCAUCUUUUUUUCCCCCAGAACAUUUUGAAGGUCCUGUCAAGACCAUCUCUACUCAUUUACCUCUUUCCUCUGCUCAGGCUAAAAUAACUUUUUUCCCUUAUUUCAUUUGAUCUUUACAACAAUCCAGUAAGGUAGGCAGAACAGAUUAUUCUCAUUUUACAAGGGAGUAAACUGGUCUUUAAUAUUGACUAUUUAGAUUUUAUGGCAGGAUGCUCUAUGUGCAACAGGCAUUUAAAAAAUGUUGAAUGAAAGACUCAAGACCACACUUCUACUCAGUGACAAAGUCUAGCUUAGGACUGCAAAUACAUAGUGCAGUGAGUUUUAGGAGAGGCCUGAAUUCACAUGUCAUCAUUGUCAGUAACGGAAUGAGCACAGACAAGUCGUGUAAUGCUCUGAGGCUUCAGUUCCUCAAGUAAAAAAUAAAAAUGAUACCCAAGGUACUUACCUCAUAAGGCUGUUGUGAGGCUCAAAUGGCAUCGUUCUUCAUUUCUCACUACACAACCUUGGUGUUCUCUGACUUUUCAUCAUCCCGCAAGAUCCUCCCAGCCUUUGUAGGGUGGAGGAUAGAUCCAUAAACCCCCAAACCUCCAUUUAAGGAGGGAGCUCAGCUCAGAACUUCUAUCUUAAAAGGCUAAACUAUGAGAUGUCUCUCCAUUUCCUACUAUGUCUGUUUCUUCACUCCCUCCUUUAUGUUUUUUUGUUGUUGUUGUCUUUCCCCAUUAGAUUGAAAGCUCCUUGAGAGCAGAGACUGUUUUCUUCUUUUAUAACUACAGCAGUUAGCAUAGUGUCUGGCAUAUGGUAGACUCUUAAUAAAUGUUGAUUGACUUUACAAUGCCAGUCAUGAGAGAGAUGAAAUGUUGCAUAUUAGGUAAGCAAACAUAUUUGGCUACAGUGUUAGAGUACAUGGGAAGGAGGAAUAUGUAAUCAGUCAUCUAAGAUAUGCUGGAGUUUGAUAUGAUAGGUUCUAAGUACCAAACAAAAGUUUCUAUUUUAAUUUAGAAGCAUUAGGAAGCCAUGGAAAUUUCUUGAGCAGAUAAUGAUGUGAUAUGAUCUGGACUCUACGUAGCUGAAUGAGGAAAGAAGGAUGAUUAGUGAGAACAAGGACUGAAUGCAAAGAGAUCAGUUAAGAGUUUGGGUGAGGACCUGAACAAGAGUGAUUAUGGUUUGUGUAGAGAAGAAGGGAUGGAUGUGGGGGAUGUUUUAAUCAAUAUCUAGUAUGUACAUCUUUCUAUUCAUACAUCAUUAUCAUUGUUAAUACCACCAUUAUGGUAUAGACCCUUUCCUUUUUUCCUUUCUUCCCUCUGGCCAUAUAUGAUUUACCGAAUGAACCCUCCAAAAAUAUCUUGGGAGUUUACUGGCUAGAUUUCUUUAAGGACAAUGCUUUAAACCAAAACCACUCUGACUCUAAUUGAUUGACUAACAAGAGGUUCCAAUUCCCUGCCAAAAUUCCAAUCUUUAAUUGUUUGAGUCCCGAUUGGUUAAAUAUAAGUAGUAAUUUAUUUCUGUUUUGGCCAGAAAUCUGAACGUCUUCCCAGAUUUAUUUAUUUAGAUUGAAUAAUGAUGAUGGUAGUGGUUUUUGACUAGAUGAAAGAGAUUUUUUGCUUAAAUUGCUAUCUAGCCUUAAUCAUUGAAUGGAUGUGGCUUUAGUCAAAUUGAGACUUGUUGAAGACCUUAGCUUAAAAAGGUCCAGAUUCUCUCCUUGCAUGCAGACCAUCUCUGGUCAUCCUGAUCUAUCUGUCUGACCACUGGACUCAAAUGAUUCUGGAGGGGAAAGUGAGGAAGGUGACCUUGCACAGACCUUCCUCACUGAAAUCCAAUUCACUUGCAUAUCAUGGCAUCACCUCUCUGACAUCAUGGUCCUUUUUGAAGGAUAAAACAAUAGAUUCUCAUCACUUUUUUGGAUCUUUGCAAAUCUGAUAACUAGACCUCCUGUUCAAAUCUCUUUCUACUCCAACCUAUCCUUCAUUCAAAGACAAAUUGAUUUUCUGAAAGUUCAGUUCUGAUCAUGUCAUUUAUUCAGUAAUCUCUAGUGACUUUUGUUACAUACAGUACCAGAUGUGAAAUCUUCUGUAUUUAAAACCCUUUACCACAUUUCCAGUCUUUCUGUACUGAUUUUGCUCUAUGAAUUCUAUGAUAACUAUAUUCUACUUUUUCCUCGCAUGUGACAUGUCACCUGGACUGUAAUGCUUUCCUUUCUCAUCUCCAGUUUCUGACUUUUUUGGUUUCCUUCAAAACCUAGCUCAGAUCUCAUCUUCUGAACCUUUCCUGGUUUCUCUUCCACCUUCUCUAUGAGUAUUACCUUCUGUUUACACUGUUUAGAUCCUUUUAUACAUGUCUUGUCUCACAAGAGUAUGAGAUCCUUGAGUGUCAUCCUAGAACUUAGCACAGUAUCUGGCACAUAGUGAAUGUGUUAAUGCUGUGUUGAUGACCAAAGAGAUGCAUUUGACAAAAUUUGGCAACUGAUUAUACAGGGUAGGUAAGGGAAAGGGCAGAGUUCAGUAUACCUUCCUUCUGAGUUGUGGACCUGUGUCAGAAUUGUGGUAUCCUUAUUAGAAAUUGAGAAGUUAGGGAAAUGGAAAAAUAAUGAAUUCUAUUUUGAACAUGGUGAUUUUGGUAAGUCUCUGGGGCAUCCAGAAAAAAUUAACACAAACCACAGGCAUUUAUUGAGAACUUGCUACUUGCCAGGGCUCUGCCAGAUACUCUACAAAUAUCCCUUUGAUCUCCACAACAACCCAAGAAGGUGCUAUUGCUAUCCUUAUUUUCCAAUUGAGAUUGACAGAAUGAUUUGCCCAGGGUCACAUAGCUAAUAAACGUAAGGAUUGGAUUCAGGUUUUCUUGACUUCAGAAAUGCAAAAUUUCAUUUCUAGGGAGAGGAAUGGUUUGUAUUUACCUAGAGACAAAUGUUGAAUUCAUGGGAGCUAAUGAGAUCGAGACUGAAAAGCUCAUACUGGCAAAAAGAGAAAUAAUGACACAAAAACCAAGGGAGAGUAUUUUUGAAGAUGGAAAUGACUAAUGGCAUCAAAUGCCGCAGUGAGAUCGAGAAAAAUAAAGACUGAAAAAAGACCACUGAAUUCGUCAAUUUAAAAAAUCCUUGGUGAUCUUGCAGAAAGUUGCCCUUGAGUAUUGGAAAUAGAAGCCAUGUGGGAAAUACUUUAGAAGAAUGAUAGGUAAGAAAAUAGAGACAUAGAAAAGUGUUAAUUGACCGAAUUAACAGUAUAAAAUGAAAAUAGCCCUGUAUUAGAUAAAAAUGAACUGGGCUGGGGACGGGAACAAAUCCAACAACCCAGAAUUAGUUGAACCUACUAGCAAAUUCUACCAAAUGUUUAAAGAGUAAUUCCAGGGGCAGCUAGAUGGCAUAAUGGAUAGAGCAUUGGCCCUGAAGUCAGGAGGACGAAUUCAAAUCUGGCCUGAGACACUUAAUACUUCCUAUCUGUGUGAUCCUGGGCAAGUCACUUAAUCCCAGUUGCCUUAGCAAGGGAAAAAAAGUAAUUCAACUAGUUAAUUUACUUUUUGAAUUGAAAAGAAAAAAGGGCCUGCCAAAAUCCUUCCAUGACAUAAAUAUAAUCUUGUCACUAAAAUCAGGAAGAUUCAAAACGAUAAAAAUGACAGACUAAUAUUUCUAAUGAAUAUUGAUGCAAAAAAUGUUUAAAUAUUAUCAAAAAGACUCCAGCAAUAUAUCAGUUAUAUACUAUGACCAAGCUGUAUUUAUAUUAGAAUGCAGACCUGAUUUAAUAUUAGCAAGACUAUAAACAUAAUUGACUAUAUUAAUAACAAAUAUAAUUAAAUCAUGAAAAGCUUUCCCAUUCCUGUUAAAAGCAAUAGAAAGCAUAGGAAUAAACAACUUUCCUUAAAAAGAGUUGUAGUAUUUAAAACCAAAAACCAGCAUUAUUGUGAUCGGAAUAAACGAGAGGUGUUAACAAUAAAAUCAGGGGUAAAGCAAGGCCAUCUAUUAUCAGCAUUACUAAUAUAUUUCUAGAAAUGCUAACUAUCACAAUAAGAUUAAAAGAAUUUGAAGGAAUACGCUUAGGCAAAAAGGGAAAAAAAUCAUUUUUUUCAGUUAAUAGAAUGGUUUACUUUGAAAAAUUAAAACAACUAAGCAAAGUUGCAGGAUAUAAAAUUAACUAAUCAGCAUUUCUGACUAUCAACAAAAUCCAGCAAGAAGAAAGAAAACUUUCAUUUAAGAGAACUACAAGAGUUUAAAGACUUCAAGAGUCUACGUGCCAAGAUGCACUCAAGAACUAUAUGAACACAGUUAUAAAACAACAUUAAUUGUCAGGGUUGGCUGAACUAAUAAAAAAGACAAUACUACAUUAAUAUACUCACUCAGUGCAACAUCAAACUACUAAAACAUCACAGAGCUAGGGGAAAAGUAGAAUAAAAGAUAGAAAAUGUCAAAAGAGUUAAUUUUUUUUUAAUGAUAGCAGAUGGACUGAGUAGUACUAGAUCUUUAUACUAUAAAAGAAUUUGAUACUGAGUAAGAAACAAAUGCUGAUUUUUGGAAUAGAUUAGGUGAACACUAUACGCAUGCAAAACUGAUAUUGUUGGUCAAAGAUAUGCACAAUUUUAAAGCCUUUUGGGCAUAGUUUGAGUGGUUAGAGUUCAACUUCACCAACUGUGCAUUAGUUCUACACAUUGCACAACUGCAUUUCCAUAUCCCUUCCAGCAUUGAUCAUUUUCCUUCUCUGUCAGACUGAUAGCUAUAACUUCAGGGUUAUUUUAAUUUGCAUUUCCCUAGUAGUGAUUUGAGCAUUUUUCUUGUGUCAUUAUUGAGAACUUGGAUUUCUUCUGAAAACUGCCUAUAUCAUUGUGGCAUUGGGGAAUGGCUCUUAUUUUUAUAAAUGUGGCUUUGUUCCUAUGUUGUUGAAAAAUGAGGCUUUGUCAGAGAAAUUUGAUGUUAAAGAACCUGCCUCCCUCUCCAGUUUCUUCCUAACUUUGUCGGCAUUGGUUUUGCUUGUGCAGUAACUUUUAAAUUUUUUUUAAAAUUUCAUCCAAUCAAAAUUAUCCAUUUUGCUUCCUGUAGUCCUCUCCAUCUUGUUUGGCCAUAAACACUUUAUCCAUAGAAGACACCCAAGCUUUUGAUAGCUAUAUUGAAAAAAAGAUUCUAAAUCACUAAUAACUAGGAAAUGCAAAUUAAAACAAUUAUCAGUUACUACCUGACAUCCAUCAGAUGGUGAAGUUGACCAAAAAAAUGGAGAUGACAGAUGCUGAUAAGACUUAUGAGACAAUAGGCAUAUUGAUGCCCUAUUCAUGGAGUAGUGAACUAAAUCGUCUAGCCAUUCUGACAAGACAUGUGAAGUUAUGCCCUCAUGUAUUCUGAUGGAAGUGGAUCUCUUCGAUAAAGAGAGCUAAUUCAGUUUCAAUUGAUCAAAGAUGGGCAGAAGCAGCUACACCCAAAGAAAGAACACUGGGAGAUGAAUGUAAACUGCAUUUUUGUUUUUCUUCCCGGAUUAUUUAUACCUUCUGAAUUCAAUUCUCCCUGUGCAACAAGAAAACUGUUCGGUUCUGCACACGUAUAUUGUAUCCAGGAUAUACUGUUAACCUAUUCAACAUGUAAAGGAUUGCUUGCCAUUUGGGGGAGGGGAUAGAGGGAGGAAGGGGAAAAAUCGGAACAGAAGUGAAUGCAAGGGAUAAUGUAAAAAAUUACCCUGGCAUGAGUUCUAUCAAUAAAAAGUUAUUUAAAAAAAAAAAAAAGAAGUUAUGCCCUCAAAGGUAUUGAACAGUACAUACCCUUUGAUCUUGCAAUACCACUAUUAGGUCUAUCACUCAAAGAGAUCAAAGAAAAAAGUCAGAUUUGAAAUUAAAUAAUUGAAUUUUUAAGAAUAAGCAGGGAUAAGAUUUGCAAAAAUAUCUGUAGUACUUUUGUGAUGGCAAAGAAUUGGAAAUUGAGGGGAAUGCUCAUCAAUUGGGGAAUGACUGAACAUAGUAUAUGAAUACCACCAUGGAAUAGUUUUGUGCUAUAAGAAAUGACAAAUAGGAUGGUUUUGAAAGAAAAACUUUUAUGAACUAUGCAAAGUGAAGUGAACAAAGCCAGGAGAACAUUGUACCCAAUAACAGUAUUAUAAGAAUGAUUAACUAUGAAAAAGCCACUCUGAUCAAGAUGACGAUCCGAGACAGUUACAGAGUACCCAUCAUGAAAAAUGCUAUCCACUUUCAGAGAAAGAACUGAUGGAGUCUGAGUGCAUAUUGAAUAACUUUUUUUGCUUUUCAUCUCUCUUGUUUUGCAGCAUAGUUGAGAGGAUGUUUUAUAUAAUUUCACAUAUAUAACAUUAAAUUGCUUACCAUUUCAAGGAGGAGAGAGAGAAAGGAAAGGGAAAAAACUCAGUUUUUAAAAAAUGAAUGUUAAAAAAUAUUGAUGUAAUUGGAAAAUAUUUGAUGAAAUUAAAAUUACCAAAAAGAUAAUUCAGGGAUAGUUUCAGAAAAACUUGACAAGAUUCAUAUAAACUGAGUCAAAAUGAAGUGAAGAGGUUAGAACCAGAGCAACAAUAUAUAUGUAAACAUUAGAAAUAUAAGCAACUUUGAAAAACCUCAGGUGAUUUAAACCUAAAGGACUCCUGAUGGAAUAUGCUAUCCAGUUCCAGAUAGAGAAGUGAUGGACUCAAUUCAAACUAUGGCAUUUUUUAAAAAUGGUUAAUUCAGGCAUUUGUUUUGCUUGACUUUUCAUGUGGAUUUAGGUUUUCUUGUUUUUUUUAGUAGAAGGCAGAGAAAUCAGAUCUGAAAAUAAAAUAUUGAAUUAAAAUGUUUUUUAAACAUGGAGGCAAAUGAUGUAGGUAGCUCUAGUAGUUUGUGGCAAAGGAAAAGACAGAAUGCUAACUUGUUAGCUUAUUUUGGGAAAAAGAUGAGAAAGUUUGGAAAAUUCGAAAGGUGCUGUUAUCAGAAUAGUUUUGAAAAGCAGAAUGAGAGGUUUAGAAAUACAGGCUUGUGAGGAAUUGAAAAGGAUUUGUGAGGAAUGAAGCCAUGAGAGUUGAAGUUCUUUGGGACUGAGUAGAAAGAACUAUGGGCCAACAGUCAUUUACUAUUACUAUCACUGAAUAAGAAUUCCUAGUGAAUAGGCUCAAAGAUACAAAAAUAAUAAUUUAGAUAGCACUAUCAGGUUGGCAAAGGUCUUCCUCACAAUCUUUUGGAUAUUUAAAUGUAAUUGUUUUUAUGAAGAAAGGGAAGCCUAGGGAGGUUAAAUCAAGGAUCCAAAGUCACAUACCUGGUAAGUGUCAGAGCUGGGACUUGAACUAGUCUUCUGGCUUAGAUGGGAUUCUCUUUUAGGCAGUUGGAAGGCAGGGAGAGGACCAGGAUGGUGCAGUGUCACAGAAACCAAGGGAGGAUAGCGUUUCAAGAAGUAGGUUACCUCUAGGAUGUUGCAAAAAGGAUAAAUAGGGCAAGGACCGAAAUAAAGCUAUUGGAUCUGCAGGAUGAGGGGAUUAGAAUAGCUCUUCAAGGUCUCUUCUAGCUGUAAGUCCUUUGAUUUGACCAGAGAAGUGGUCAUGGUGAUCUUAUGACUGACUCUGGCUGUUCCCUGUUGGCCAGUUCUGGAUUAAUAAGUCAUCAUUUUUUAAGACUAAAUAAAAUAUGGGAAAAUAUAUUGGAAAUCAUUUAGCCUUAUGUCUUUGUUUUGCAGAAGAGGAAAUUCUGGGGCCUUAAUUUAGUGACUUAUCAGGGCAUAGGGAGAGACAGAGGUAAAAGCUGAAUGGCAGGCUCAGAAUGCCCAGGCCCUCUUCUGCCCACUAACAGCUCCUCUCCUGGUGCUGGCCCUCAUACUUUCCUGUUCCUCAUUCCUGUGCUCCAGUUAUUGACUGACCCACUGAGGUUUCUCUCAUCCUCCUUUAGGCUGCCACUCAGGCAGAUGGUUCUCCUGAAAUGACCACACUCUUCACUGGCAGUGCCUUCUUCCCUGGAUAUAGCCUUGUUUUCUUGAGAGGGUCCUGAGCAAUAAGGCUCUUUCACCAAUGGCAAGCCUCAGUUCUUGAUUUAGUCCUUUUUCUCUGUCAGAUGACCCAAGCUAAUAGUGAUCUUAGAGUACCCAGGCUUACUUCUGAGUUAAUGUCUCAGACUGAUCAUUUCUCUUUUUUGGCCAUGGAGCUUGCAAAGUGCAACCUUCCCUCCUAAUGAUUGAUAUUACUCAAUGUGUAGAACUGGGCUUGGAGUCGGGAAGACCUGAGUUCAGAUCCAGCCAAAGACACCAUCUGGCUGGCCUUUCCCUCUGCUUCAGUUUCCUCAUCUUUAGGGUGAGGAUAAUAUGGCAAAGCAUGAAAAGAGCCCUUAUUCACCCAUCCCAGAAUGCCUAGUAUGGUGCUGUGUACUAAGCAUUAACAUAUUUGGUGAGGGCAGACAGAAAACAGGCAGAUGAUCUCCAAAGAAGGUGAGAUUAAAGUCCUGGAACAGCAGCUCCGGGUAUUGUGCGGAUCAAAUGAACUGGUAAGAACUUAGCAGAAUGCCUGGCAAGUUAGUUAAGUGCUACAUAAAUGUUAGAUGCUACUGCCAUUUUUUUUUUUUUUUUUGAUUUCUAAAAGGAAUAUAUAUAGCCUCUAAUCUAGUUUGGGUCUUGAAUUAACUUACCUAGCUGUUGAUCCAACUGUCACAGAUAUGGAUGGGCCUUCCUGACCCUGCUCUCUGCCCUUGGUGGGUAAACCACUUUUGUCCCAUUUGUGUAUUGCCUGCAGUUGGGGCUUUCUUGGUCAAGUUAUCAGAGUAAUUUGUCUCCUUCUCCAGCUUUUGUUACAGAUGAGGAAGAAGGCAGAUGGGGUUAUGUCACUUGCCCAGGGUCACUUAGCUAGUGAGUAUCUGAGGCCAGAGAGGAACUCUUCUGUCUUUCUGACUCCAGGCCCAGCACUCUAGGUACUCUAUGUCAAAGGCCUUAGAGCUGCUAUUCCAGGACCUGGGCUUUUUCUCCUUACCUCACCUACACCUCCUAACUUCCCUCCAAACUCCGCUCAAAGCCUGCUUUCUUCAGGUCUUUUCUGUUUUCUCUUUCUAUUCUGCCUAUAUCCUAAUAUAUGGAUAUUGUUGCUGUUAGACUGUGAGCUCCUUUUGAGGGCAGAGACUGCUUGUUUUUCCACUCUGAAUCCUCAGUGCAUAGCACAGUGUACUUGGCACAUAAUGAGCACUUAAUAAAUGCCUGUUGAUUGAUUCA